rnacentral:rRNA from 1 species
GACGAACCUUGCAAACGUUAUUCGGAAUCACUGGGCUUAAAGGGUGCGUAGGCUGUGCAGAAAGUUGGGUGUGAAAUACCUCGGCUUAACCGAGGAAUUGCGCCCAAAACUACUGUGCUCGAGGAAGAUAGAGGUGAGCGGAACUUAGGGUGGAGCGGUGAAAUGCGUUGAUAUCCUAAGGAACACCGGUGGCGAAAGCGGCCCACUGGAUCUUAUCUGACGCUGAGGCACGAAAGCCAGGGUAGCAAACGGG